rnacentral:piRNA from 1 species
UCCUAAAGGCUCCAGGGACUGUAGC